CCAGUGCAAACCAGAAGGCA
rnacentral:misc_RNA from 1 species